rnacentral:rRNA from 1 species
AUGCAACCUGCCGUCUUCAGAGCCUUGCUCCAUUUCAUUUAUACUGAUUCUUUGCCUCAUGGCGCCAGGGACCUUGAGGGAGAUGAAGAUAUCGAGAUGGUCCGGCUUUUACUCGUGGCUGCGGACAGAUAUGCCAUGGACAGACUCAAGAUGGUAUGCCAAAGCAUCCUUUGCAGGGAUCUGAAUGCGGACACCGUGGCGACAACAUUGGCUUUAGCUGACCAACAUAACUGCCACAAGCUUAAGGAUGCUUGCCUUGAAUUUAUUGAAAGAUCAGAUGACAAUGCUAUGGAUGGCGUGGUGGCAACCCAAGGCUUCAAAGAUCUCAAAGUGACUUGCCCAUCUCUCAUAGUGGACGUACUGGAGAACAGAAGAAAGCUUCGUAAAGCAUGA